rnacentral:rRNA from 1 species
UACGUAGGGUGCAAGCGUUGUCCGGAAUUAUUGGGCGUAAAGAGCUCGUAGGCGGUUUGUCGCGUCUGCUGUGAAAACUCGGGGCUCAACUCCGAGCUUGCAGUGGGUACGGGCAGACUAGAGUGCGGUAGGGGAGACUGGAAUUCCUGGUGUAGCGGUGGAAUGCGCAGAUAUCAGGAGGAACACCGGUGGCGAAGGCGGGUCUCUGGGCAGUAACUGACGCUGAUGAGCGAAAGCGUGGGGAGCGAACAGG